AAUAAAAUAAAAAAAGAAGGAGAAGAUGAAGAAGAAAAAGAUGAAAAAGAAGAAGAAGAAGAAGAAACAAAAACCCAAGAGCAAGAGCGUCAAGAGGAAUAGGACUACUAGCCCAUGUAUAGAGAGAGAAAACGGUUAUUAUUAUGAUGUAAUGAUAAUGAGUAGUUAGUAGUGUUGUAUAACUGUAACUGUAACCGUAACCGUAACGAACAUGAACAAGUGUAACCGAAUUUAUGAGGUGUUUCCAGUGCUGAUUCGACUUUUAGUUACAGAAGAAGAAGAAGAAGAAGUAGUUUCUGUUUAGAGGUGGUUCGUGACACGUGGUGGUGUCGUUGUGGUUGAUUGCUUCCCCGAAGAGAGCAGCU